rnacentral:rRNA from 1 species
UACGUAGGUGGCAAGCGUUGUCCGGAUUUACUGGGCGUAAAGAGCGCGCAGGCGGUCGUUCAAGUCGCGUGUGAAAGCCCCCGGCUCAACUGGGGAGGGUCACGCGAUACUGAUCGACUCGAAGGCAGGAGAGGGUAGUGGAAUUCCCGGUGUAGUGGUGAAAUGCGUAGAUAUCGGGAGGAACACCAGUGGCGAAGGCGACUACCUGGACCAAUACUGACGCUCAGGUGCGAAAGCGUGGGGAGCAAACAGG